rnacentral:rRNA from 1 species
UACGGGGGGGGCAAGCGUUGUUCGGAAUUACUGGGCGUAAAGGGCUCGUAGGCGGCCAACUAAGUCAGACGUGAAAUCCCUCGGCUUAACCGGGGAACUGCGUCUGAUACUGGAUGGCUUGAGAUUGGGAGAGGGAUGCGGAAUUCCAGGUGUAGCGGUGAAAUGCGUAGAUAUCUGGAGGAAUACCGGUGGCGAAGGCGGCAUCCUGGACCGAGAUUGACACUGAUGAGCGAAAGCCAGGGGAGCAAACGGG